UACGAAGGGGACUAGCGUUGUUCGGAAUCACUGGGCGUAAAGCGCACGUAGGCGGAUGUGUCAGUCAGGGGUGAAAUCCCGGGGCUCAACCUCGGAACUGUCUUUGAUACAGCACGUCUCGAGUCCGGAAGAGGUGGGUGGAAUUCCUAGUGUAGAGGUGAAAUUCGUAGAUAUUAGGAAGAACACCGGUGGCGAAGGCGGCCCACUGGUCCGGUACUGACGCUGAGGUGCGAAAGCGUGGGGAGCAAACAGG
rnacentral:rRNA from 1 species